GCUAAGCCGUAUUCUAGGUGACUCACUUAGCUAAACAGACUACGCUAUACCGUACCGCAGCUGUCUGCGAGUUUGCUCCGUUUGAAUUGUCGAGAUUCUUGAAAUAUAGUCAAUGGCGUCUAAACAAAUCAUGACUGACGAAAUAGCAAAUGUUGCAAAGAAGGCUGAUGAAGAAAUAACGGCUGAAGAAAUAGCAAAAGUCGCAAUGAAUACUACGGUAGCAGCUAAUUGGAAAAAUUUGGCGGCUAUUUUGGACGCAGAAUAUUUUGAUAUUGGGAGACUUUCUAUGGUGGCAAGUAGCAGUGGAGACUUAAAUGUUCAAGCACGAACCAUGUUGCAAGAAUGGCACAACAAUCACAGAAAAAAAGCUACUCACCGCAAACUGAUCGAGGCGUUUUUUUGCCUUGGCUGGAAGCUUCAGGCUGAAAACCUUUUUGGAGAAUCGUUAGUGGCAUCUGCUACACAAGGCCAUGAUGAAAUAGAUUUGUGCUAACUGUCAUGACGCUGACAAUCUCUUUGCUGUCUUCAGUACAGUGUGUUGAAACUCUGGACGAACGCUGUUACGUGCAUGCAUUUGCUUGUUUGUUUACUGUCUUGCAAUAGUGCAGCUGUGUGUAGAGCUGCGCUGCUUAGAGUUAUCGUAUUAGAUGCAUUUGCAUUAGAGAGCUGCAUGGAGGAAAUAUGCUUAACUGUAUCUAUAAGACUAAUCUGAGCGGCGCCUUCGAACUCUGGCUAUACCAUCCUGGGCAGAACAUUUGCAUAGACGAACGAAUGCUCCGGUUUAAAGGUACAUCUGGUAUGAAACAGCACAUGCCCAAGACACCCAUCAAAUGGGGGUUAAAGCUAUGGGUUCCAGGGCCGGAUCCAGGAAUUUUUGAAAGAGGGGAUUCACCUGGUAGCAGUUAUUUAUAGCAUUACUAAUUUUCUUUUUUCUAAUGAAAUUAUAUGAAAUUGUUGAACCACGCCCAUUGGAAAAGAGGGGGUUUCAACCCUCUGACCCCCUCUGGAUCCGGCGCUGGGUCCUAGCAACAUCAUGGGACCCAAACUUCCCCUGGGAGCCGGCUACGUUGUUGAUUUUGACGUAUACCUUGGCUCUCAGAAAUGCGCCACCGAGGAAGGCUUGACCUACAGGGUUGUCAUGGAGCUCCUGCAACCCCGCAACCCUGACGCACCUGCAAGGUCUCUCGGCAAAGGUUACCAUCUAUACCUUGACAACUAUUAUUCAUCAAAACAACUUUUUGAAAAGCUGAGAGACAUACACAUACGCAGCUGGCACAAUACGUCGAUUAGGACGUGGUUUUCCACCCCAGCUGAAGGGCAAAUUGUUUGCGGGCAGAAUAGAGGUUCCUGGAGGCGGACCAGGGAUGGACAGUGCCUCUAUGUAGUCUGGAAAGAUAGCGUGGAUUGUGUCUUGCUCACCACCAUACACGCUGGCACGUAUGGUGGCAACAUCGUGGAGCGUAGGAGCAAGGCCACCGGGGGUGCAGCAAAGGAAGUGCCAGCACCUCCAGUCAUUCCAGACUCCAACAAGCUCAUGGGAGGUGUCAACCUCUUCGACCAGAUGAACAGCUUCUAUGCGGUCUUGAGGAAGGUUUUCUGUUGGCCUAUGGUUUACCUCUUCAACUUCCUCGAGACCGCUACCACCAAUUCAUACAUCUUAGAUCGAAGCUGUGGCGAUUUUGCAUAGAUGGGUUGUAUAGUUGAUAUUAAUAGUCACCUACUGUUGCCCUUUGAUUUUCAUGUUGUGAGGCGUGGCCGCAUUCCACGGUAGGUCUGAUACCUUCGCUAUCGAUUUUCGUCAUUAUGCCGUCGAUUUGAACAGUUGACGAAGAGCUCAUCGUGUUAGUGAACUCCUAGGAAGACGUUUCUGACUGGCGAGAA